UACGGAGGGUGCAAGCGUUAUCCGGAUUUACUGGGUUUAAAGGGUGCGCAGGCGGAUAUGUAAGUCAGUGGUGAAAUCUCUAGGCUUAACCUGGAAAUUGCCGUUGAUACUAUAUAUCUUGAAUGCUGUGGAGGUAAGCGGAAUAUGUCAUGUAGCGGUGAAAUGCUUAGAUAUGACAUAGAACACCUAUUGCGAAGGCAGCUUACUACGCAGAUAUUGACGCUGAGGUGCGAAAGCGUGGGGAGCAAACAGG
rnacentral:rRNA from 1 species